GGCCCUAUCGUCUAGCCCGGCCUAGGACGCCGCGUUCUCAGCGCGGAGACUGGGGUUCGAAUCCCCAUGGGGCUA
rnacentral:tRNA from 1 species